GAAAUCUGCGACAAAAGAUAGAAGUUCUUAAUCCCACUACUGACUGCCAUAUAAAAGCUAGUGUGGUUAUGUUUAUAUCCGUGGAGUAAAUAAUAGCUUCCUUGUGCGUACGAAGAGAACAAGAAAAACAAUCGAAGGUUCGAUUGACUUUGAUAUUUAUCAAUCCAGUCGUCUUUCGCCUUCCAACGAGUGAACAUCGGAUCGGUAAUACAGGAGUAUAUAAUCCAAGAAUAAUACAAGAUAAUACAGGAAUUUAUUAUCUCCCAAGUGUUGAGCUGGUAAAACAAUCAACUACUUCUAUCGACAAAAAGAUUGGACACCACUGCAUUAGAGCUUGGAGAUCGUAAAACCGGAGAUUGACUCACAUAACGUAUAUUUUAUAUGGUAUUAAAGCUCAAUUCACAUUGAUAAUGUUAACACGUUAUAAGCCGUCAAUAUAUUCUGUAAUAGAAAAAAUAAAUGUUUAUUUAUUUUAUUAUAAAUUUUUAGUAGUGGCAAGUGCAAGUACAAUAUAAAAUAGAUGUUAUUAGAUGUUACUUCGACGGUUUGUAAUGUAACAACUUUAUAUGCAAUAUGAAUCCAACUUAAUACUAUAUGAUAUAAUGGCGAACUAGUUUAUAACCAAUUUAUUUGAUUUUACACAAAAAUAAUGAUCUUGUUAUUUCGAUCAUUUAUUUAACUUUAUUCAUUCGAGUAUUUCAGUUAAUCUUGAUAUGUUAAAUUUAACAUUUAAAUUUGAAAAAAUUAGAGGACACCUAAAAUUGUUCACAUUUUAUUAAAAAGAAGUUAAUAUCUAUUUUGUUGUUAUUAUUAUUAUUAAUGUGAGAAAGAAUUUUUGGGUAUUCUAAAAUAUGUUAUUAAAGAAUUAAAGAAUACAUCUUAGGUUCAGUGCAAAUAUCUUAACUCAAAAAUAAUAAAGACAUAUCAUUUUUUAUAACAUUGAUCGCUGUUUAUAUGUACCUCAGCAUUCAUUAUACAUAUAGAGUAAAAACUGUGGCAGGACUAGCUAGCUAUAAUCUAACACCAUAUUCCAAUCUAUAGAAUCUAUUUAAUUUGUAUUGCACCAAGAUUUUGAUUGGGUUUGAUAUGACCUGUAAAGUAUAUACUUUCAGUUUAAUUAGUUAAUUUUUAUUACAAUGCAAAGCACUGUGAUAAUUUUAGUUACUUUACUUGGCACUUGCAAAAUACAUUCAACUAUACUGUGCGAAGAAAAACAAUAUUCUCUCCCUUGUUUUAUUGAUGUAAUGAAAUACAAGUAUUAUUUCUUAA